rnacentral:rRNA from 1 species
AUUGAACGCUGGCGGAAUGCUUUACACAUGCAAGUCGAACGGUAGAGGGGGCAACCCCUCGAGAGUGGCGAACGGGUGAGUAAUAUAUUGGAACGUGCCCAGUCGUGGGGGAUAACGCAGCGAAAGCUGUGCUAAUACCGCAUACGAUCUAAGGAUGAAAGCGGGGGAUCGCAAGACCUCGCGCGAUUGGAGCGGCCGAUAUCAGAUUAGCUAGUUGGUGGGGUAAAGGCCCACCAAGGCGACGAUCUGUAGCUGGUCUGAGAGGACGACCAGCCACACUGGAACUGAGACACGGUCCAGACUCCUACGGGAGGCAGCAGUGGGGAAUUUUGGACAAUGGGCGCAAGCCUGAUCCAGCAAUGCCGCGUGCAGGAUGAAGGCCUUCGGGUUGUAAACUGCUUUUGUACGGAACGAAACGGCCCUUUCUAAUACAGGGGGCUAAUGACGGUACCGUAAGAAUAAGCACCGGCUAACUACGUGCCAGCCGCCGCCGUAA